rnacentral:lncRNA from 1 species
CUACUAUGCUCCAUGGGAGGUGUGGGACUCAGUACCAUUACUGGUAUGAUAAAAACAAAAUAUCCUCCUCUGUUUAUUUUUAAAAUGGAUUAGAAACAGAUUAUGAAAAGUAUUUUAUGACAUGGUUGCCUGUGAUAAGAAGGAACUGGAUUCAGUAGCCUCAGAGGUCUUUUCUACUGUUGUGUUCCUAGGGAGGAAAUUUGUUGCAGAGCCAACCAUCCUGCCUCCUUGUUCUUGUCUGCCUUAGUAGAUUUGACUGGAAAAAAAAGAAGUGAAAAUGAGCUUCUAUUUGUUUUGCCACUGGAUUUGUUGAAGUCUGUUUGGGAAGAUAGUGAAGCUAAUCUCACUAAUGGACUCAUAAAUGCUGCCCAGUUUGGAAGAAGCAGAAGUGAACAAAUAAGAGCCACUGGCUAUCUGUCAGAGUGGUUACGGUGCUAA